rnacentral:rRNA from 1 species
UACGAAGGGGGCUAGCGUUGUUCGGAAUCACUGGGCGUAAAGGGCGCGUAGGCGGCUUUGUAAGUCGGGGGUGAAAGCCUGUGGCUCAACCACAGAAUUGCCUUCGAUACUGGAUGGCUUGGAUUUGGGAGAGGGAUGCGGAAUUCCAGGUGUAGCGGUGAAAUGCGUAGAUAUCUGGAGGAACACCGGUGGCGAAGGCGGCAUCCUGGACCAAUAUUGACGCUGAGGAGCGAAAGCCAGGGGAGCAAACGGG